UUUAGCCGGGCGUUCGACAGAU
rnacentral:sRNA from 1 species